rnacentral:rRNA from 1 species
UACAGAGGGUGCGAGCGUUAAUCGGAAUUACUGGGCGUAAAGCGUGCGUAGACGGUUAUUUAAGUCGGGUGUGAAAGCCCCGGGCUCAACCUGGGAAUUGCAUUCGAGACUGAAUAGCUAGGGUACGGUAGAGGGAAGUGGAAUUUCCGGUGUAGCGGUGAAAUGCGUAGAUAUCGGAAGGAACACCUGCGGCGAAGGCGGGUUGCUGGGCUGACACUGACGCUGAGGCGCGAAAGCCAGGGGAGCAAACAGG